GAAGACAGAAGGGCCCGAUGACAGGAAGAAAAAUGGUAAAGGAGGAUGUGAGGCACGGCUCUUGAAAGCGACUGUGGUGAAAACAGCAACAAACAAGGACCUCUGUGUGUGUUCUAGUCCUGACUCUGUGUCUUUCGUUCUUCAGCACUCGUUUCUUCAUCCCUCCGUUGGUUUAUUCCUUCAUCAUUUUCAAGCUGCAUCACAUGGCCUGUGGGAUUCUUAUUCCCCAACCUGAGAUCAAACCUGUGCCCCUGCAGUGGAAGCCAGGAGUCCCAAACCACCAGACCUCUAGGGAAGUUCCAAUUGGCUGAUUUCUUGAUUCCUUCCCUAGAGAUGGCUCCCUCCAGGUAUCCUGUCCACACCAUCACUGACACCCCAAACUUCAGGCUCUCAAGCGAACAGCAGACAACUAUUUGCAUAGCCUCUGCCUGGAAGAAAGGAUUUGCAAAGGAGCAGAUGCCAGCUGCAGAGGAAUCUCUUGGGAGAACACCUGUCCUGCUUGCUGAGGGCCACAGAGUUCCUGACCGGAUGCUGACCAUGCUAGGAAGCACCUGAAACCUAGGCCUUCAGCUGCCAUCAUCCAAUCAGAAAGUAGCAGCUCUGCUGCAGACUGGCCUCAGAUGACCAAGGAGGUUGCCUGAACUCCUGAUUGCAAAUCUUAUUCUAUGACUGGCUUUCAGUGUGUCUCUUUACAAAUAUGACAAUGUAAAGCAAUUAUUAAAAAUGUAAAUGCUCCCAUCCUUUUUUCCCUUUCCUGAAGACGGAAAUGCUAUCUUAGUCUUAGUUCUGUUCUUAGGGUUUUGCCCAUAUCUCCUUAUUGUCUUCGUCCCUACUCCAAGCUGCAUGUGUUGAAAUCCUAAUGCUCAAUGUGAUGGUAUUAGUGGAGUGAUGGGAGUAGGGGUAAGAGGUGAUUAGGUCAACCACUACCCUUAUGAAUGAGUUUAAUGCCCUCAUAAAAGAGCCAUGAGAGAGAUAUCUGGCCCCCUUUCAUCAUGUGAAGAACCAAGUCAGCAGUCUUCAACCCAGAAGAGGGUUUUCAUCAGACCCUGAUCAUUCUGGCAGUCUGAUCUUGGACUUCUAGAUUCCAGAACCAGAAAAAAUAAAUGUCUGU